rnacentral:tRNA from 1 species
UCCCUAGUGUCUUAGAGUGUAAAGAAUCUGUCUGCAAUACAGGAGACCCGGGUUUGAUCCCUGGGUCAGGAA